AUUGAACGCUGGCGGCAUGCUUUACACAUGCAAGUCGAACGGCAGCGCGGGCUUCGGCCUGGCGGCGAGUGGCGAACGGGUGAGUAAUGCAUCGGAACGUGCCCAGUAGUGGGGGAUAGCCCGGCGAAAGCCGGAUUAAUACCGCAUACGACCUGAGGGUGAAAGCGGGGGACCGAAAGGCCUCGCGCUAUUGGAGCGGCCGAUGUCGGAUUAGCUAGUUGGUGGGGUAAAGGCUUACCAAGGCGACGAUCCGUAGCUGGUCUGAGAGGACGACCAGCCACACUGGGACUGAGACACGGCCCAGACUCCUACGGGAGGCAGCAGUGGGGAAUUUUGGACAAUGGGGGCAUCCCUGAUCCAGCCAUGCCGCGUGCGGGAAGAAGGCCUUCGGGUUGUAAACCGCUUUUGUUCGGGAAGAAAUCCUCUGGGCUAAUACCCCGGGGGGAUGACGGUACCGGAAGAAUAAGCACCGGCUAACUACGUG
rnacentral:rRNA from 1 species